rnacentral:rRNA from 1 species
AUGAACGCUGGCGGCGUGCCUAAUCCAUGCCAGUCGAGCGAACAGACGAGGAGCUUGCUCCUCUGACGUUAGCGGCGGACGGGUGAGUAACACGUGGAUAACCUACCUAUAAGACUGGGAUAACUUCGGGAAACCGGAGCUAAUACCGGAUAAUAUAUUGAACCGCAUGGUUCAAUAGUGAAAGACGGUUUUGCUGUCACUUAUAGAUGGAUCCGCGCCGCAUUAGCUAGUUGGUAAGGUAACGGCUUACCAAGGCAACGAUGCGUAGCCGACCUGAGAGGGUGAUAGGCCACACUGGAACUGAGACACGGUCCAGACUCCUACGGGAGGCAGCAGUAGGGAAUCUUCCGCAAUGGGCGAAAGCCUGACGGAGCAACGCCGCGUGAGUGAUGAAGGUCUUCGGAUCGUAAAACUCUGUUAUUAGGGAAGAACAAAUGUGUAAGUAACUAUGCACGUCUUGACGGUACCUAAUCAGAAAGCCACGGCUAACUACGUG